GAUGAACGCUAGCGAUAGGCCUAACACAUGCAAGUCGAGGGGCAGCAUAGAGUAGCAAUACUUUGAUGGCGACCGGCGCACGGGUGAGUAACACGUAUGCAACCUACCUACAUCAGGGGAAUAACCCGGAGAAAUUCGGACUAAUACCGCAUAAUACAGGGAUGCCGCAUGGCACUAUUUGUUAAAGAUUUAUCGGAUGUAGAUGGGCAUGCGUUCCAUUAGCUAGUUGGUGAGGUAACGGCUCACCAAGGCAACGAUGGAUAGGGGAACUGAGAGGUUUGUCCCCCACACUGGAACUGAGACACGGACCAGACUCCUACGGGAGGCAGCAGUGAGGAAUAUUGGUCAAUGGACGAGAGUCUGAACCAGCCAAAUCGCGUGAAGGGAGACUGCCCUACGGGUUGUAAACUUCUUUUGUACAGGAAUAAAAGACAUUACGUGUAAUGUAUUGCAUGUACUGUACGAAUAAGCAUCGGCUAACUCCGUGCCAGCAGCCGCCGUAA
rnacentral:rRNA from 1 species